CUAUACAGUGAAACUGCGAAUGGCUCAUUAAAUCAGUUAUCGUUUAUUUGAUAGUACCUUACUACUUGGAUAACCGUGGUAAUUCUAGAGCUAAUACAUGCUAAAAACCUCGACUUCGGAAGGGGUGUAUUUAUUAGAUAAAAAACCAAUGCCCUUCGGGGCUCCUUGGUGAUUCAUAAUAACUUAACGAAUCGCAUGGCCUUGUGCCGGCGAUGGUUCAUUCAAAUUUCUGCCCUAUCAACUUUCGAUGGUUAGGUAGUGGCUAACCAUGGUUUCAACGGGUAACGGGGAAUUAGGGUUCUAUUCCGGAGAGGGAGCCUGAGAAACGGCUGCCACAUCCAAGGAAGGCAGCAGGCGCGCAAAUUACCCAAUCCCGACACGGGGAGGUAGUGACAAUAAAUACUGAUACAGGGCUCUUUUGGGUCUUGUAAUUGGAAUGAGUACAAUUUAAAUCCCUUAACGAGGAACAAUUGGAGGGCAAGUCUGGUGGACUCAGUCCCUUGCUGACGCCAGAAAUAGUGGUAGCCCACUAGUCGACUGCACACAAGCUUUGGGUGUGCGGCGGCAAGACAACCUGGAUCGGGGGAAGCUAAGGGCGCGAGCCUAUGCUAACCCCGAGCGGAGUGACCCUGGAGCGAUCCUGGGGAGCCCGUGUAGAGCGCGCAAAGGUGUCGGUUGCCUGCAGACGCAGGCAGCUUGAGGUACGUGCCAGUCCCACGCGAAAGCGUGUGGUCAAGAUAAGCUCCCAAAGGGCGAGGCUUGACCGGGGCGAACUCAGUUCGCUUGGGUUAGACUUAUGGACUUCCUAGUCUAACAACAUCGGCCAGCAGCCGCGGUAAUUCCAGCUCCAAUAGCGUAUAUUAAAGUUGUUGCAGUUAAAAAGCUCGUAGUUGAACCUUGGGCCUGGUUGGUCGGUCCGCCUCACCGCGUGCACUGAUCCGACCGGGUCUUUCCUCCUGGGGAGCCGCAUGCCCUUCACUGGGUGUGUCGGGGAACCAGGACUUUUACUUUGAAAAAAUUAGAGUGUUCAAAGCAGGCCUAUGCUCGAAUACAUUAGCAUGGAAUAAUAGAAUAGGACGUGUGGUUCUAUUUUGUUGGUUUCUAGGACCGCCGUAAUGAUUAAUAGGGAUAGUCGGGGGCAUCAGUAUUCAAUUGUCAGAGGUGAAAUUCUUGGAUUAAUUGAAGACUAACUACUGCGAAAGCAUUUGCCAAGGAUGUUUUCAUUAAUCAGUGAACGAAAGUUAGGGGAUCGAAGACGAUCAGAUACCGUCGUAGUCUUAACCAUAAACUAUGCCGACUAGGGAUCGGGCGAUGUUAUCUUUUUGACUCGCUCGGCACCUCACGAGAAAUCAAAGUC
rnacentral:rRNA from 1 species